AUAGAUUUCCUGCCCUUCCAUGAACGAAGCAGCGGCGGCGCUAGCAAGAUCCUCUGCGUGGACGCCGAGGGGCACACCGUCCUAUACGACAUGGACGCCGGCUCCCUCCAGCCGAUUCCAUGCCUCAACAGUCCCAAGGGGAGCAGGCCCAUCGGCUUCUCCGCCACUGAUGCCGAAGCCGACGACCCCGAGCGUGCCCAUGUCUUCUACGUCAUGGGAAGCUUCGUCUAUUUGGGAGCUGGGAGGUUUUGUAUCAGCAAAGUCUUUGAGUUUGGUUUCGACGAACGCACUGGCAACAUGACUGAAAUGGGUGUUGUGAUGUCUGGUGUGGAG
rnacentral:rRNA from 1 species